rnacentral:rRNA from 1 species
UACGUAGGGUGCGAGCGUUGUCCGGAAUUAUUGGGCGUAAAGAGCUCGUAGGCGGUUUGUCGGGUCGGAUGUGAAAACCUGGGGCUCAACCCCGGGCCUGCAGCCGAUACGGGCAAGCUAGAAUUCGGUAGGGGAGACUGGAAUUCCUGGUGUAGCGGUGAAAUGCGCAGAUAUCAGGAGGAACACCGGUGGCGAAGGCGGGUCUCUGGGCCGAUAUUGACGCUGAGGAGCGAAAGCGUGGGGAGCGAACAGG